UCUGAGACCUGGGUAGCAGCACGUCGAUGGGUUGGUUUUGUUUCCUCUUCAUUGAAGGUGGUGAGUUUCAAAGAUAUCAGCUUUAUAUAAAGCUCUCCGUUCCAACCCUACCCCAAACUUCCUCUCCUGUCUUCAUGUGGAUGCUAACUUAAAACUCUUAUUUCUGGGUCAGAUAACUCCCUGCUCUCAGCCCUGAUGACUACACCUUUGACACACACUAUAUUGGUAUGGCUUUUAAUUUUCUCUUUGUUUCUAGCAUUUGAGAAUCUCUGUCUUUGUUAAUUCAACUAUGUAUUUUUAAAUAAACUUCAUAUUUUAGCUAACACUUGUAGAUAUUUGUAGCUGGGGAAAACUAACUUUAGUUGAUUCUACUGAGUAGACAGGACUGGAAAUCCAUUCUCUGGGGUUUGUUAAAACCAAAGUAACUGGCUCUCCUGGAUGCUAGCUCACUGUCCAAGUUGAAUUUAGUGUCAAUCAUCCAGAAAAUGUCCCGUUUUUCAUGUGCGAAGUCUGCUUAUAGUUAAUAGACCAGCUUAGGUUCUUCAUUUAGUUCAGUGAACUCUUCAAAAUGUGGUUUCAAUAUUGAAAUAAAUGCAUAUCAUUCUAAUUUUACUCUUUUCUCUCUCUGCUAGGAAACUGGAGGGAGUAAAUCCUACAGACAAUAGACAAAUGUUUGAAAUACUUAGAACAUGGUUUGUUUUUCUUUUUGUUUUUGUUCUGAAAUGGAGUAUUGCUCUGUUGCCCAGGCUGGAGUGCAGUGGUACGAUCUUGGGUCGCCACAACCUCCACCUCCCAGGUUUCAGCAAUUCUCCUGCCUCAGCCUCCCGAGUAGCUGGGACUACAGACACGUGCCACCAUGCCUGGCUAAUUUUUUGUAUUUUUAGUAGAGACAGAGUUUCACUGUGUUGGCCAAGACAGUCUUGAUCUUUUGACCUCAUGAUCUUCCCAUCUUGGCCUCCCAAAGUGCUGGGAUUACAGGCAUGAGCCACUGUGCCCGGCCAGUUGUUUUAAUUCUAGGUUCUGGAUACAUGGGAAGUGGAGGAAAUGCUGGACAAGAAGGCACAGUUAGAUGGUAGACCCACCUCUGUCAAUAACCAGGCCCAGUUUUAACUCAUUGUUUUUCAAUUGUAAAAUAAGAGUGUUGGACAAAAUACCUUAUAGGCUCCUUCUAGCUCUUAGGUGAUUUAUAAAGGUUUGGGGUGAGGGUAAACUGGGCGGUUAAAGUCUGUGUAAUCUGAAAGCCAUGCAGGGGCUCUGACGGGCUUACCCCUGUCCCUGCAGCCAAGUCCUGACGUGCUACUUUCCCAGGGCUUGGUUCUUGCCUGUUUCUCUUGAGGCUGCCUUGGCAUUCACCCACGCUCUUGGUUGUUAUUUUUUACUCUCUGCCCCUGUGAAAAUACACCUGCUCUCGUGGCUUCACUGGCCACUUUCUCAAUCCUGGCUGUCUUCUUUAUGUUCUUGUUCCCUGUAUCCUAUGGGUCUGUUUCUUUCUGACUACUCACCAUGAGGGCAAGAGAUUCCAAAUAUCUACAAAAUUCCUCACAUUCCUGAAGAAACCCUCCCAGUCUUUCCCUAGUGUCCUGUCUCUGAGGAUACCACCUUGCUUGGUGAGAACUUUCAUAGAUCUAGCCUCUUCAUUUACCAACUCCUACCAAGCCACUUUUCUUGUGAAAUGUCCCAUAUGCACAUUUUGUGCAUUCAAUAAAUAGCUUUUGAGUUAGGCCAGGCACUGUAUUGGACAUGGAUUAAACAUAAAAUAAAGAAAGCAGAUCUCGGCCAGACACAAUGGCACAUGCCUGUAAUCCUAGCAG
rnacentral:lncRNA from 1 species